rnacentral:snoRNA from 1 species
UUGCUGUGAUGAUAAUAAACUCUAGGUGAAAGCUUGUCUUGAUGAGACAUUGACAUUUAGUCAAUCUGAGCGGUUACCUGAGCAA